rnacentral:rRNA from 1 species
CCCUUAGAUGUUCUGGGCAGCACGCGCGCUACAAUGGUCUUCGCAAACGGAUGCAUUCUCGAAGGAGAAUGCCAAUCUUGGAAUCUAUGCCUUGGUCGGGACAGUUGCUUGCAAUUUUUCGACUCGAACCAGGAAUUCCGUGUAAUCGUGAUUCAUCACAUCACGAUGAAUACGUCCCUGCCCUUUGUACACACCGCCCGUCGCUCCUACCGAUCGAAGAGUUAGGUGAAUUGUUUUGAUCGAUAAGAUUUGACUAUGGUCAACUCUCGUUGUGAAAUUCUGUGAAUCUGACUGUUUAGAGGAAGGAAAAGUCGUAACA